AAUUAUUUUUUAACUUUAUAAUUUUUUUUUGAUUAAUGUGCAUAUGCAUGUUAUUGAAUCAGGAAAUAAAUAAUAUUUAAAUAAGCUGGAAAGAACCAUCUAGUUUUCUUAGUAAUGGUGAAUGAAAAUUAAUUUUAUGUUAGAGUGGAUAAGUACUGUGAAGGAAUAAUAUUUAUUAGUUUUAAAAUAGUAAAGAUUUAAUCUUGUACCUUUUGUAUCAUGGUUCUUUUAAUUAAGUUUUUUAUAAAUUUUUCCCGAAAAAAGUUGAGUUAUCAUUUAACUCGGAAGUACGUUAGCGUAGAAAAGCUAUGUAUAGAUUAGAUGAUAGGGGUAAAAUGCCUUCCGAAACUUUUGAUUGCUGGUUGGUUAGGAAAUGUAUCAAAGUACAGGUAAAUUAUAAUUAAAUUUUAACUUUUAAUUUUGCGAUUUUAUUUAUUAAAGUUAAGAAUAAGAUAAUUUAACUGACCUAAAGAAGGAUAAGCUUCUUUAGGAAACUAUAAGGUUUAGUAAGGAAAAUAAAAUAAGUUGUGGGCUUAAGAUUGGCCAUCUAACAGAUGAAGUUUGUUAUAUAUUAUUAUAUACUUUGUUUUGAAGAUUUUUAUAUUAAAACCUUUAAAUUAAUUUUAAAUAAUUUGUUUUAUUUAAAUAAACACUAACUUUAUUAAUUGAAUUUUAAUAAUUAAUUUGUUUCUGAUGAAAUGAGUAUUUAGAAAUUUAAUAAAAAUUUAGCAUUAACAAAAAUUGGAUGAAAGUUAGAUUAAUGUAUAAUAGUAAAGUAAUAAAAGUAUUUAGUACAUGUAUAAGUUUUAAUUUCAAAAUUGAAAAAAGGAAUUCGGCAAAAAUCAGUUUCGCCUGUUUAUCAAAAACAUCGCUCUUUGGAAUGGCUCUUUAAUCAAGGGUCUAUUGCAUAGUAUAAAGAGUCGGACCUGCCCAGUGACUAUAAUGUUAAACGGCCGCGGUACUCUGACCGUGCAAAGGUAGCAUAAUCAUUUGCCUUUUAAUUGGAGGCUUGUAUGAAUGGUUUGACGAAAGCUGAACUGUCUCUUUUUAAAUAUAUAAAAAUUAAUUUUUAGGUGAAGAAGCCUAACAUUUAACUGAGGGACAAGAAGACCCCGUUGAGCUUUAGUGACCUAGUGCACUAAUAUUUAAUAUACCAUAAUGUAUAAAUUAUUACACACAUUAGAAUGUAGGUAAUAUUCACUAGAAAUCUUUGGUUGGGGCGACUAAGGAACAUGGAAAGCUUCCUUUAAAUUAUAAAUUUUAUGGUAAUCAAAUUAAAAUAAAUAGAUCCAGCAUUUGCUGAUCAGAGGAAAAAGUUACCACGGGGAUAACAGCGUAAUCUUUCUAGAGAGUUCUUAUCGAAGGAAGGGUUUSCGACCUCGAUGUUGGACUAAGAUAUCCUAGAGGUGUAGAAGCUUCUGAUGGUUAGUCUGUUCGACUAUUAAAAUCUUACRUGAUCUGAGUUCAGACCGGMGUGAGCCAGGUUGGUUUCUAUCUUCAGUUAAACAGAAUAAAUUUUUGGCUAGUACGAAAGGACCGCCAUUAAACCAAAUGCUUUGUGUACAGGAACAAAUCUAAUAUAGUAAGGAGUUAAAUUUAUGGGAUUAAACAAUUCUAAAUUAA
rnacentral:rRNA from 1 species